UACAGAGGUCCCGAGCGUUGUUCGGAUUCAUUGGGCGUAAAGGGUGUGUAGGCGGCGGGGCAAGUCUGAUGUGAAAUCCCGGGGCUCAACCCCGGAACUGCAUUGGAUACUGCCUUGCUAGAGUACUGGAGAGGGAACUGGAAUUUACGGUGUAGCAGUGAAAUGCGUAGAGAUCGUAAGGAAGGCCAGUGGCGAAGGCGAGUUCCUGGACAGUGACUGACGCUGAGGCACGAAGGCCAGGGGAGCAAACGGG
rnacentral:rRNA from 1 species